AACGAACGCUGGCGGCGUGGAUAAGACAUGCAAGUCGAGCGAGAUUUUUUUCUGUAGCAAUACAGGGAAAAGUCUAGCGGCGAACGGGUGCGUAACACGUGGGCAACCUGCCAAGAAGUGGGGGAUAGCUCGCCGAAAGGCGAAUUAAUACCGCAUGUGAUUAGAGUGGACAUCCAUUCAAAAUCAAAGUCGGGGCAACCUGACGCUUCUUGAGGGGCCCGCGGCCUAUCAGCUAGUUGGUGAGGUAACGGCCCACCAAGGCUUAGACGGGUAGCUGGUCUGAGAGGACGACCAGCCACACUGGGACUGAGACACGGCCCAGACACCUACGGGUGGCAGCAGUCGAGAAUUUUUCUCAAUGGGGGAAACCCUGAAGGAGCGACGCCGCGUGGAGGAUGAAGGUCUUCGGGUUGUAAACUCCUGUCAUUUGGGAACAAUGCGCAAAUAUUAACUGUAUUUGCGUUGAUAGUACCAGAAGAGGAAGGGACGGCUAACUCUGUGCCAGCAGCCGCGGUAAUAC
rnacentral:rRNA from 1 species